rnacentral:rRNA from 1 species
GUAACGAAUAUUCCGCAAUGCGCGAAAGCGUGACGGAGCGAUGCCGCGUGCAGGAUGAAGCCCUUCGGGGUGUAAACUGCUGUCAGGGUUUAGCAACACAAUGAGCAAAUCCAGAGGAAGAGGCGGCUAACUCUGUGCCAGCAGCCGCGGUAAUACAGAGGCCUCAAGCGUUAAUCGGAGUCACUGGGCUUAAAGGGUGCGUAGGCGGGUCCGCAAGUGCUUUGUGAAAUCCCACGGCUCAACCGUGGAAUUGCUUGGCAGACUGCGGGUCUUGAGGUCGGUAGAGGUCGCUGGAACUCUAGGUGGAGCGGUGAAAUGCGUAGAUAUCUAGAGGAACGCCGAAGGUGAAGACAGGCGACUGGGCCGAUUCUGACGCUGAGGCACGAAAGCGUGGGGAGCAAACGGGAUUAGAAACCCUUGUAGUCC